ensembl:scaRNA
CUGGUCUUGGGCAGGUGCUGCAGUGUAGCCGUCAUGGCCGUAUGCUGCAGCGUGCCUUGUUGGACCUAGACUAUAACGGGGUUCUGUGAAGCUGCCCUGGCAGUUGCAGGUGUGAGCAUGUAUACAGCAGUUUGAUGCUCAUGUAUGAUACUGCAGACAAAC